GCCUCACUCGCUCAGUUGGUAGAGCAUGUGACUCUUGAUCUCAGGGUCAUGGGUUUGAGCCCCAUGUUGGGCA
rnacentral:tRNA from 1 species